rnacentral:rRNA from 1 species
AGCGAACGCUGGCGGCAGGCCUAACACAUGCAAGUCGAACGAAGCCUUCGGGCUUAGUGGCGGACGGGUGAGUAACACGUGGGAACGUACCUUUUGGUUCGGAACAACUCAGGGAAACUUGAGCUAAUACCGGAUGAGCCCUUAGGGGGAAAGAUUUAUCGCCGAAAGAGCGGCCCGCGUUAGAUUAGCUAGUUGGUGAGGUAAAGGCUCACCAAGGCUACGAUCUAUAGCUGGUCUGAGAGGAUGAUCAGCCACACUGGGACUGAGACACGGCCCAGACUCCUACGGGAGGCAGCAGUGGGGAAUCUUGCGCAAUGGGCGAAAGCCUGACGCAGCCAUGCCGCGUGAAUGAUGAAGGUCUUAGGAUUGUAAAAUUCUUUUACCAGGGACGAUAAUGACGGUACCUGGAGAAAAAGCCCCGGCUAACUUCGUGCCAGCAGCCGCCGUAACAC